AUAGUGCAGAAGGUCAAGGACUCAGAUCUUAUCAAGCUUGUGGGAGAUCAGUGGGUUCGCAAACGCCGGGGCCAGAUUCGCCAAUAUGCUACAGCUUAUCUUAGGGCUGCUUGGACUAAGGCCUUGUUUUGUUUGAAGGAUGAAGGGAUUGGUGGGAGUUCCAGCAAUGCCUCCAAAGUUGCUUUGAAGGACAGGUUCAAGAAUUUCAAUGC
rnacentral:misc_RNA from 1 species